CCGGAGGGUCUUACCGAGUUUACACUCCCAACCCCUGUGACAUACCUAUACGUUGCCUCGGCGGAUCAGCCCGCGCCCCGUAAAACGGGACGGCCCGCCCGAGGACCCUAAACUCUGUUUUUAGUGGAACUUCUGAGUAAAACAAACAAAUAAAUCAAAACUUUCAACAACGGAUCUCUUGGUUCUGGCAUCGAUGAAGAACGCAGCAAAAUGCGAUAAGUAAUGUGAAUUGCAGAAUUCAGUGAAUCAUCGAAUCUUUGAACGCACAUUGCGCCCGCCAGUAUUCUGGCGGGCAUGCCUGUUCGAGCGUCAUUUCAACCCUCAAGCUCAGCUUGGUGUUGGGACUCGCGGUAACCCGCGUUCCCCAAAUCGAUUGGCGGUCACGUCGAGCUUCCGUAGCGUAGUAAUCAUACACCUCGUUACUGGGAAUCGGGCGCGGCCACCCCGUAAACCCCACUUCGAAUGUUGACCUCGGAUCGUAGGAAAACCGCUAAUUUCCCAAAAAUAGGAGGA
rnacentral:rRNA from 1 species